AUUGAACGCUGGCGGCAGGCUUAACACAUGCAAGUCGAGCGGGGGAAGGUAGCUUGCUACCGGACCUAGCGGCGGACGGGUGAGCAAUGCUUAGGAAUCUGCCUAUUAGUGGGGGACAACAUUUCGAAAGGAAUGCUAAUACCGCAUACGUCCUACGAGAGAAAGCAGGGGAUCUUCGGACCUUGCGCUAAUAGAUGAGCCUAAGUCGGAUUAGCUAGUUGGUGGGGUAAAGGCCUACCAAGGCGACGAUCUGUAGCGGGUCUGAGAGGAUGAUCCGCCACUCUGGGACUGAGACACGGCCCAGACUCCUACGGGAGGCAGCAGUGGGGAAUAUUGGACAAUGGGCGGAAGCCUGAUCCAGCCAUGCCGCGUGUGUGAAGAAGGCCUUAUGGUUGUAAAGCACUUUAAGCGAGGAGGAGGCUACUUUAGUUAAUACCUAGAGAUAGUGGACGUUACUCGCAGAAUAAGCACCGGCUAACUCUGUGCCAGCCGCCGCGGUAA
rnacentral:rRNA from 1 species